rnacentral:snRNA from 1 species
UCACUUACCUGGACGGGGUCAAUGGGUGAUCAAGAAGGUCCAUGGCCUAGGUUGGUGACCUCCAUUGCACUUUGGAGGGGUGCCCACCUAAGGUCGGCCCAAGUGGUCGAGCCUAUGUCAUAAUUUGUGGCAGUGGGGGCUUGCGUUCGCGCAGCCCUUG